AAGUCGUAACAAGGUUUCCGUAGGUGAACCUGCGGAAGGAUCAUUAAAGAGUAAGGGUGCUUAGCGCCCGACCUCCAACCCUUUGUUGUUAAAACUACCUUGUUGCUUUGGCGGACCGGCUCGGUCUCGAGCCGCUGGGGCAUUCGGUCCCAGGCCGAGCGCCCGCCAGACGUUCAAACCAAAUACCAUCUUGUUUAGUUUUAAAUACCCGGGUCGUCUGAGUUAAAAACUUUUUGAAUAAAUCAAAA
rnacentral:misc_RNA from 1 species